GCUUGUAAUAGUUUAAAUUAAAACAGUAAUUUUGUAAAUUACAAAUAAUUAAAAAAUUAAUUUAUUAGCA
rnacentral:tRNA from 1 species